rnacentral:lncRNA from 1 species
UAAUAAUCAGCUUCAAAUGGGCAAUAAUGUGCAGCAGCGAAGUUUGAAUAGCCCAGCAAACUUUAAGAUGAUUUUGCAACCAAUUUCAAACCAUUUUUAUGCUCGGAUGUGAUAGAAUGACUUCAGGAAUUCGAAAAGAGCUCAAAACCAAAACAUUUCAACCCUCAGACAAACCAACAAUUAUUUCAGGAAUUGAGAGUCUAAUCAACCAUAAAAACUCAAUGAAACAGUAAAAUAUCAGUGUAAUUUUCAGCCGACUUCUUUCUUGAUUUUUC